AGAGUUUGAUCAUGGCUCAGGAUGAACGCUGGCGGCGUGCCUAAUACAUGCAAGUCGAACGAGGUGCUUUUGUAGCAAUACGAGAGUAUCCUAGUGGCGAACGGGUGAGUAACGCGUUGGUGACCUACCCCAAAGUGUGGGAUAACAGUCCGAAAGGAUUGCUAAUACCGCAUGUGGUUAUUGGAUUUAGAAACCGGUAACUAAAGGAGCAAUUCGCUUUGGGAGGGACCUGCGUCCCAUCAGCUAGUUGGUGAGGUAACGGCUCACCAAGGCGACGACGGGUAGGGGACCUGAGAGGGUGGCCCCCCACAAUGGAACUGAAACACGGUCCAUACACCUACGGGUGGCAGCAGUAGGGAAUAUUGCACAAUGGGCGAAAGCCUGAUGCAGCAACGCCGCGUGUGUGAUGAAGGCCUUCGGGUCGUAAAGCACUUUUCUGGGAGAUGAGAAAGGACAGUAUCCCAGGAAUAAGUCUCGGCUAACUACGUGCCAGCCGCCGCGGUAAUAC
rnacentral:rRNA from 1 species